UACGGAGGGGGCUAGCGUUGUCCGCAGUUACUGGGCGUAAAGCGCGCGUAGGCGGGUUGGUAAGUCCGCUGUGAAAGCCCGGAGCUCAACUCCGGAGGGUCGGUGGAUACUGCCAGUCUUGAAGGUGCUAGGGGGAGAUGGAAUUACCGGUGUAGCGGUGAAAUGCGUAGAUAUCGGUAGGAACACCAGUGGCGAAGGCGGUCUCCUGGGGCAUUCUUGACGCUGAGGCGCGAAAGCUGGGGGAGCGAACGGG
rnacentral:rRNA from 1 species